UGUUAUGCAAAGAAUGACAACAGUAUAAUCUCAUUUGAUAUCAAAAUUGGGCACCAAAGCCAAAUCUCGUGAACCGAAGGAAAUGUUCUGUUCCCACAUGGAUAGGCGAAACCAUUAUAGGCCGCCUGGCGGACGGAGAAUAAAAAACGGGACGGGGGAGAGAGAGGUGGGACGUGGUGGGCCUGAAGUUUGAAGGGUGUGCUUUUGGAAGAUGCGGUUCUCAUGGGAGCAUAAAAUGGCACAUGAUUACUAAUCAGCAAGCUUGAUUUGAGUUGUGAAUGUGCUGUUACUGUUAAGAAUAAUGAUUGUGCCUUUUUAUUUAAUUAUCAUGACCAGACGAGCAUAUAGUAAUAAAUUAUAUGAUUCCUUUUAUAUUUGAUAAUAAUAAAGAAUAGGAAGGUGGGGACGGGGAAGCGGAACCUGAUGGGUGGGUUGGCAUUUGGCAGUGGCAUUGGCAGAUAGGGUCCUGAGAAGGAGUGGAGAGGAGGCGUUUGCUUGCUUGUCACGCCAGAACUCUCAGUCGCCUUCCUUGACUCGCGCGUGUUAAAAGCC